rnacentral:lncRNA from 1 species
UUCAAAUACCAUUUAUGCAUUCUUAUGUUAAGAUGUGAUGCAGUCCCUCUAACUGGAUUGCUAAGGGCACCUCAUGCUGUAUUUCUUUGUAAGUGCCAUGGUACCGUCCAUGACGCUUUGUCUACCACCAAGCAGCUGGAGUUACAAACACUGGAAACUCUCAGAGGAAGGCCGAGUGUCCCAGUGUGCCCAGAAGAGGGCAUAUCAGGUAAGCUGUGAGGCAGCCAGCUCUGGAGACCAAGAAGUCCACUUCACAAAAGGUCGAAUUGGCCUUGAUACAUCCUUUUCCCGGGGACCACUCACGGCAGAGUGGAACUGAGUAGGGAGAUCCCCUUGGCUGCUUAAUCCACUUGCAAUGCUAAAAAAGUUAGGGAAUCUUAGGGUUUAAAUUCUGCAUGAUAUUCCUGUUUGCCACCAGUCAUCAGUGAAUACUGCAUUGUUUGCCCAUAAUGACUCACCUCAACAGACAGUGUGCCUGAAAGUAAAACAGAGGGAGAGAGACCAGAGAGCAAGGGUGGUGGUAGUUCACUGAGUUCAACACACCUCAAACACGCAGCGCUCCUGUGUCAUAAUGGAAACAUCAAUCUUGAAAGAAUUACAUCAGUCUCAGAAGACACCCGUUGCCAGGAAGAACGCCGCACCACAGAGCCAGUCAGCAGGGCUGGUUCUACUUAUCUCCGAAGAUCAAACACACAGGAACACUGGAAUCGUCCACAGAGGGCCUCUAAUGAGCCGCGCCUCGUGUGGAGAUUGACAAGACAAGGCCCAAAGUUUUUCAUCGAUAAAAGUUGAACAAGAACAGGCAGCUCCUGCUUCCCUCGACCUCAGUUCUGCUUUAGCAGAAAAACACCCGAUGCUGAUAUUUUCCAUAAGCAGCCAGAAGUCAUGUGUAAAGCUGCAGCACAAAAUGGAUGGAGCCUUCGGGGGCCUGGGGUGCCCACAGAGCAUCACCGCAAAGGCAGAGGGUGCAGAGUAUGCAGACAGGUACAUGCACACCAACACAGAAGAAUCAGAGCGAUCACUGUGUUAGCCAAAAGAAUCGAAUAUCCACACUGGCAGCGCAUGAAACAAGGUAAGAGCAAGCCUAGAGUUUCUCAUUGUGAGCGGGCGUGUGCAUCAGCAUGCAUGCACAAGUGUGUGUGUGCAUGCGCUCGUGAGCCCAUACACCUAUGUGCGUGUGCCAGCUGCCGGUGGCACUCUUCCUGCUCCCCUUAUCUGGAGGACAUUUGAGAAGAUAUCUUUGAACAUCGUUGUCUUAAAGGAUUUUAUUUAUUAAAUAAUUCACUAGCCUUUCCUCCUGGAAAAAUUUCCAACUAUAACAGAAAGAAAGCCAAGAGAGAAGAAUGUUUAUGGCAAGGAGGGGCUCUGAAAUAUCUUUACUUCUAGAUUCUUUAUUAGGUAAAACUAUGUCACACCACCAUUCCUGUUGGAAACUGUUCAUUUAAUUUCCCUCUUUUGUAGAUAUUUUGUUUUCCCCUAAAUGUCAGUGCUUGCUGGGGGAAAAAUAUUUUUAGUUGUUUCUCGUAGAGCUUCUUGCAGAAUGCCUCCACCUGCUGGAAAGAUGUGAGCAUCUUUGUUAAGAGCAGCUGAGGCACUGUGCAUCGGGGAUGCCUAUUUUCAUAUCACAGGGGAAAAUAGAAAUUGUAAAUGUGUAGAAUAGAUGUUUAUUGAUAAACAUCACAUGUAAA